rnacentral:tRNA from 1 species
AUUAUAUUUAAGUGUGAGAAUAGCACUAUAAUUUUUGAGAUUAUCAGAUUUAGUUAAAAUCUAAAAAAUAUAAUA